rnacentral:tRNA from 1 species
GGGUCAGUGGCGGAACUGGUAUACGCGCGACACUUAAAAUGUCGUCCCAAUUCUGGGGUGUGGGUUCGAGUCCCUCCUGACCCA